GACAGAGGUGCCGAGCGUUAGGCGGAAUCACUGGGCUUAAAGCGUGUGUAGGCGGGUGCCUAAGUACCUUGUGAAAUCCCACGGCUCAACCGUGGAACUGCUUGGUAUACUGGGUAUCUUGAGCCACUUAGGGGCAACCGGAACAAACGGUGGAGCGGUGAAAUGCGUAGAUAUCAGGAGGAACACCGGUGGCGAAGGCGGGUCUCUGGGCCGUAACUGACGCUGAGGAGCGAAAGCGUGGGGAGCGAACAGG
rnacentral:rRNA from 1 species